AUGUGAAGUGCGGUCUCAUUAUAAUGGGUGACCUACCCAGGUGGAAGAUAGAAAAAAUGUGAAGUGGUCGCGUUAUAAUGGGUGACCUACCCAGGUGGAAGAUAGAAAAAAUGUGAAGUGGUCGCGUUAUAAUGGGUGACCUACCCAGGUGGAAGAUAGAAAAAAUGUGAAGUGGUCGCGUUAUAAUGGGUGACCUACCCAGGUGGAAGAUAGAAAAAAUGUGAAGUGGUCGUGUUAUAAUGGGUGACCUACCCAGGUGGAAGAUAGAA